rnacentral:rRNA from 1 species
GAUGAACGCUGGCGGCGUGCCUAAUACAUGCAAGUCGAGCGAAUGGAUUGAGAGCUUGCUCUUAUGAAGUUAGCGGCGGACGGGUGAGUAACACGUGGGUAACCUGCCCAUAAGACUGGGAUAACUCCGGGAAACCGGGGCUAAUACCAGAUAACAUUUUGAACCGCAUGGUUCGAAAUUGAAAGGCGGCUUCGGCUGUCACUUAUGGAUGGACCCGCGUCGCAUUAGCUAGCUGGUGAGGUAACGGCUCACCAAGGCAACGAUGCGUAGCCGACCUGAGAGGGUGAUCGGCCACACUGGGACUGAGACACGGCCCAGACUCCUACGGGAGGCAGCAGUAGGGAAUCUUCCGCAAUGGACGAAAGUCUGACGGAGCAACGCCGCGUGAGUGAUGAAGGCUUUCGGGUCGUAAAACUCUGUUGUUAGGGAAGAACAAGUGCUAGUUGAAUAAGCUGGCACCUUGACGGUACCUAACCAGAAAGCCACGGCUAACUACGUGCCAGCCGCCGCCGUAA